GUCGGGGUGGCGGAAUGGCAGACGCGCUAGCUUGAGGUGCUAGUGCCCUUAGGGGCGUGGGGGUUCAAGUCCCCCUCUCGACA
rnacentral:tRNA from 1 species